GCGGAGGGCCGGACGGCCGCGACGCCCCGCAAGGGGUAUCGAGGAAAGUCCGGACUCCCGUCGGACACGGUGCCGGGUAACGCCCGGCCGGGGCAACCCGAGGGACAGCGCCACAGAGAACAGACCGCCGUCCUCCGGGGCGGCAAGGGUGAAACGGUGGGGUAAGAGCCCACCGGGGGACGGGCAACCGGACCCGCAUGGCAAGCCCCACCGGGAGCAAUGCCGAAUAGGGGCCUCGUGCCCGGCGCGAGCCGGGGCAGGGACGUCCGACCCCGAGAGGCCCGGGUAGGCAGCUGGAGGCGCGCGGCGACGCGCGCCCGAGAGGAAUGGUCGUCGCCCCGACCCGUGCCCCCCCGGGGCGUGGCGCCGGGGACACAGAAUCCGGCUUACAGGCCCUCCGCGCGA
rnacentral:RNase_P_RNA from 1 species